CGGGUGCACUGAUCCAGCCGGGCCUUUCCCUCUGUGGAACCCCAUGGCCUUCACUGGCUGUGGCGGGGAAACAGGACUUUUACUUUGAAAAAAUUAGAGUGCUCCAGGCAGGCCUAUGCUCGAAUACAUUAGCAUGGAAUAAUAGAAUAGGACGUGUGGUUCUAUUUUGUUGGUUUCUAGGACCGCCGUAAUGAUUAAUAGGGACAGUCGGGGGCAUCAGUAUUCAAUUGUCAGAGGUGAAAUUCUUGGAUCUAUUGAAGACUAACUACUGCGAAAGCAUUUGCCAAGGAUGUUUUCAUUGAUAAGGAACGAAAGUUAGGGGAUCGAAGACGAUCAGAUACCGUCGUAGUCUUAACUAUAAACUAUGCCGACUAGGGAUCGGACGAUGUUAUUCUUUGACGCGUUCGGCACCUUUCGAGAAAUCAAAGUGCUUGGGCUCCAGGGGGAGUAUGGUCGCAAGGCUGAAACUUAAAGAAAUUGACGGAAGGGCACCACCAGGGGUGGAACCUGCGGCUUAAUUUGACUCAACACGGGGAAACUCACCAGGUCCAGACACAGUGAGGAUUGACAGAUUGAGAGCUCUUUCUUGAUUCUGUGGGUGGUGGUGCAUGGGCCGUUCUUAGUUGGUGGAGUGAUUUGUCUGCUUAAUUGCGAUAACGAACGAGACCUUUAACCUGCUAAAUAGCCCGUACUGCUUUGGGCAGUUCGCCGGCUUCUUAGAGGGACUAUCGG
rnacentral:rRNA from 1 species